rnacentral:rRNA from 1 species
UAUUAAUUGUUGCCAGCCGCCGCGGUAAAACGUAGGGUGCAAGCGUUGUCCGGAAUUACUGGGUGUAAAGGGAGCGCAGGCGGACCGGCAAGUUGGAAGUGAAAACUAUGGGCUCAACCCAUAAAUUGCUUUCAAAACUGCUGGCCUUGAGUAGUGCAGAGGUAGGUGGAAUUCCCGGUGUAGCGGUGGAAUGCGUAGAUAUCGGGAGGAACACCAGUGGCGAAGGCGACCUACUGGGCACCAACUGACGCUGAGGCUCGAAAGCAUGGGUAGCAAACAGG